AUCUGUGCGGGAGGCUGCAGGGUGGCCUGAGCAGACAGAGGAGACAUGUAUGGCCCUAAGAAAGGUGCGGACCUUCUGUGGGUCUGAGCCUGGUCUGAAAGAACGUCUGACACUUAGUAGGACCUUGUUCUGUGUUACUCCCAGCCCACCCUGCCUCCUCUGCCCCACAAAACACAGGACCUGAAACAGCACCUGGAAAUGUAGCAGGACAUGAAUGUUGGUCCCAUCUCAUCCUGUGCUUUUUUUUUUCCUGUCUCCUGUGUUCCUUCUGGUUUGCCAUUACUGAGGCAGCUCCUUACUGAGCUUCAGAAAUAAGUCACACAGAAGAGAAAGCAUACUAACAGGAUGGCUGGAUGACAAUGGAGCCGCCGAAGGAGGGUCCCAGUUACUCAGCCCUACUUACUGAGCACAGGACUGUGGCUGUAGUCCCUGUCCAGGACAUGUAUGUAAUUGCUACGUCUGGCUUUAUCCUUGUCCUCCACAUGACAGCUCCGAUGAACAGAACGAUACUACUGUUUUUGCCAUCACUGAGUACGCACGCAAACACCCCUCAGAUGCACACAGCACCUUGCAGCGUUCUUGUCCUCCAGCUUGCCCGGCUAUCUGAAAGUCCAGCUAUUGGAAAAUGGAAUUACAAGGAGAGUAACCGAGAAGGGGAGAGACAGAGAUCUUCUAUUCACGGGUCAACUCUGGAAAUGGCAGAAGCCUGGAAUGGCAUCUAGAUCUCCCAGAAUAACUCCAAAGACUCACACACUGUAACGACGGAAGCAGCCAGACACAGAAGAGCACCUGUUGGGUGAAGACUUUUACUUGUAACGUCCCAGUGGAGUUGGGGAAGGAGAGGAAAAUCAGCACCACGCUCCUCUCGUCUGAAGGUGCACAGCGUCCUCUUCCAUCCCUCCAGGUAACCUCAGACAAGCAGGUGCCCUCUGAGCCGCUGAAAGGUGACUUACUGCACACAGGAACAGGGAGCGGCCCUGAUUCUGCCUGGGCCCACACACCCCCAGGCUCAGCCACUGAGGGCUCCCCUGCCCUACCUCCAGGUGCGCUGCACAGGAGCAGCCCUCCCUCUGCUCACUGCAGUACCGACCCAUCCCCCCUCCCUCCCCUGGCCUCCUCAACGUCCCCUGAUGGCGCCCACACUGUCUUGUCCUCACCAGUCCAUUCCCACAUCCUGGCCAGCGUCUCCUGACAACAAGAAUCAGAUCGCGUCUCUCCCAGACUCUAACCCUCCUCACUCAGAAUCCUAGCUGAAUCCUGACCUGGCCCAGUGCACAUGGCUCCCAUCGGCCCCUUCACGUCCCCUCCCAGUGAGUGCACCGUGUCCGCCAGGCUGCAGCCAUACCAGCUUUCCCUCUGCUACUGGCCCAAUUGGUGCCUCACACUGGGUAGUGACACUGGUAAAAUUAUCCGUCCGUGCCUGGAUGCUUGUCACUUGAGACUCAGCUCGAGAGUCACUUCAGAAAGCACUGCCCUCACACCCCUUCCAUUCUAAUCCUGCUCCCAGGCAUCCCCUACCAUAUCUGUGCCUGUUUUCUUCAAAGCGGAAAUCAGGAAAUGAGAUCACCACUGCAACUGGGUGUGGUUACUGCUGACUGCCAGUUCUGCCCAGCUGGACUGACAGCUCGAGGGACACAGCCUCUUGUCCCCUGUGCUGUUCCCAGUGCCCCGAUCACAGCCUCCCCUGCACACUGCUGACUGAAGGUUCCUCAGGGGAAGACCUCUCACCUGUCAGACACACCAGAGAGGACACGAUCUUCACAGCAAAGUAGCAGGGGCGACCAACGACGUAAUUACACGUCAAAGUCCAAGUAUGAGGAAGACCUCGUACCAAAUCCUCAGCUUUGAAUUUCCAACCUGGGAGAGAGUUAGAACCAACUGGAAAAAAUCACUAAAUAAAUGGAUAGGUCCCACCUCCCUCGUACUGACUGCAGAACCUUAUGGUGGACCCAAAUAUCUGAAACCCAGUAUGUAUCCCCAUGGGGCUGGCACUGUGGUGUUAGGCAUCCACCUGUGGUGCUGGCAUCCCAUAUGGGUGAGGGAGUGCAGAGAAACACUUUGAUCUACUGCAUGUUCCAAACAUGCAGUAGUAACGGUACUUAACAUACUGCUUAAUUCAAAAUCCUAUACAUUUCACGGUUUUGGAAAUUUUGAGAAACUUAGUGCAGAGAAAGGAUUACAAGUAUAUUUGUACGUACAUGGGCAGUGGUGUUAGGGGUACUGCAGUUUGUAAUAAAUAGUGACGUACCUGAAUUUACAUCAAAGAAUACAGGUAAAAUAAACCUGCUGGCAGCAAAGGAUGAAACAGUCGGGUGCUGUGAAAAAAAAAAAAAAAAAGCAAA